GUGGGGAAUCAUCCGCAAUGGGCGAAAGCCUGACGGAGCAACGCCGCGUGAGUGAUGACGGCCUUCGGGUUGUAAAGCUCUGUUAUAUGGGACGAACGGGCAUGGGGCCAAUACCCUCAUGCAGUGACGGUACCGUAAGAGAAAGCCACGGCUAACUACGUGCCAGCAGCCGCGGUAAUACGUAGGUGGCAAGCGUUGUCCGGAAUUAUUGGGCGUAAAGGGCGUGUAGGCGGCCAGACAAGUCUGUCUUAAAAGUGCGGGGCUCAACCCCGUGAUGGGAUGGAAACUGUCAGGCUAGAGUGUCGGAGAGGAAAGCGGAAUUCCUAGUGUAGCGGUGAAAUGCGUAGAUAUUAGGAGGAACACCAGUGGCGAAAGCGGCUUUCUGGACGACAACUGACGCUGAGGCGCGAAAGCCAGGGGAGCAAACGGGAUUAGAAACCCCGGUAGUCC
rnacentral:rRNA from 1 species